GUCUUUACGAAAUCAAGUUUAUGUAAAGUCUGGCCUGCCCAAUGAUGUAAAAUUUAAUGGCCGCGGUAUAUUGACUGUGCGAAGGUAGCAUAAUAAUUAGUUCUUUAAUUGAGAACUGGAAUGAAAGGCUGAACAAGAAGCUAGCUGUCUCUGUAUAAAACCUUGAAUUUAACUUUUAAGUGAAAAGGCUUAAAUAAGCUAGGGGGACGAUAAGACCCUAUGAAUCUUUAUGCCUGAGCUUGUGGGGCAAAAGAGUGUUAAAGUUUUGCCAAACAUUGUCGGGUAUUUUGUUGGGGCGACAGGAGCAUAAAAAUUAACUGCUCUAAAUUUAUAGUUAGUGAUAUUUAGUUAAGUGAUCCUCUAAUAGGGAUAUUAGUCUAAGUUACUCUAGGGAUAACAGCGUAAUUUUUUUUGAGAGUUCAUAUCGAGAAAAAAGUUUGCGACCUCGAUGUUGAAUUAAAGAUCCUUUGCGGCGGAGAAGCCGUGAAAGGAGGUCUGUUCGACCUUUAAACCUUUACAUGAUUUGAGUUCAGACCGGCGUAAG
rnacentral:rRNA from 1 species